rnacentral:rRNA from 1 species
GACGAACGCUGGCGGCGUGCUUAACACAUGCAAGUCGAACGGAAAGGCCCUGCUUUUGUGGGGUGCUCGAGUGGCGAACGGGUGAGUAACACGUGAGUAACCUGCCCUUGACUUUGGGAUAACUUCAGGAAACUGGGGCUAAUACCGGAUAGGAUCUCCUGCUGCAUGGUGGGGGUUGGAAAGUUUCGGCGGUUGGGGAUGGACUCGCGGCUUAUCAGCUUGUUGGUGGGGUAGGGGCUUACCAAGGCUUUGACGGGUAGCCGGCCUGAGAGGGUGACCGGCCACAGUGGGACUGAGGUACGGCCCAGACUGCUACGGGAGGCAGCAGUGGGGAAUAUUGCACAAUGGGCGGAAGCCGGAUGCAGCAACGCCGCGUGCGGGAUGACGGCCGUCGGGUUGGAAACCGCUUUCGCCUGUGACGAAGCGUGAGUGACGGUAAUGGGUAAAGAAGCACCGGCUAACUACGUG